rnacentral:rRNA from 1 species
UCCGUAGGCGGGCAAUUAAGUCAGAGGUGAAAUCCCACAGCUCAACUGUGGAACUGCCUUUGAUACUGGUUGUCUUGAGUUAUAGUGAGGUAGAUAGAAUAUGUAGUGUAGCGGUGAAAUGCAUAGAUAUUACAUAGAAUACCGAUUGCGAAGGCAGUCUACUAACUGUAUACUGACGCUAAUGGACGAAAGCGUGGGGAGCGAACAGGAUUAGAUACCCUGGUAGUCC